rnacentral:rRNA from 1 species
UACGUAGGGUGCUAGCGUUGUUCGGAAUCAUUGGGCGUAAAGCGAGUGUAGGUGGUCAAUAAAGUUGGGUGUGAAAUCCCUCGGCUCAACCGAGGAAGUGCAUUCAAAACUAAUUGGUUUGAGAGUGGUAGAGGAAGGUGGAAUUCCUAGUGUAGAGGUGAAAUUCGUAGAUAUUAGGAGGAAUACCGGAGGCGAAGGCGGCCUUCUGGACCAUUUCUGACACUGAGACUCGAAAGCGUGGGUAGCAAACAGG